AUUUUCAAGUAGGAUCAUCCUGGCAGAUGCCUUGGGUUGAAAAAGAGUAUGUGGAAGGAUACUUUUUCAGUAGCUCACCAUGCCACCCUAUCUGUGGCCAAACUUCUGCCAAGAAUACAGUCUGCCAUAAUGAGGUUUUGGAGCAAGGUCAGCGCAUUGCCUCAGAUGCUCUGUCCAAAGCCCUGCUUCGUGAACGGGUUCACGUCUUGAGAGAGUAUGUGAAAGAUGUUGCUAUGAGAUAUUGCAGGAGGAAAAUCGAGUGUAAGAAGAGAGGAGGAAGAUUCAUGGAGCCAAAUGAGAAGCCAAGGGAAACAAUAAGAGCCAUAUUUCCGAUCAACAAAUGGCCUCUGG
rnacentral:lncRNA from 1 species